rnacentral:rRNA from 1 species
GAGACAGCAGUCGCCGCGGUAAUACGUAGGUGGCAAGCGUUGUCCGGAAUUAUUGGGCGUAAAGGGCUCGCAGGCGGUUUCUUAAGUCUGAUGUGAAAGCCCCCGGCUCAACCGGGGAGGGUCAUUGGAAACUGGGAAACUUGAGUGCAGAAGAGGAGAGUGGAAUUCCACGUGUAGCGGUGAAAUGCGUAGAGAUGUGGAGGAACACCAGUGGCGAAGGCGACUCUCUGGUCUGUAACUGACGCUGAGGAGCGAAAGCGUGGGGAGCGAACGGGAUUAGAUACCCCAGUAGUCCCUGUCUCUUAUAC